rnacentral:rRNA from 1 species
GCGAGUGAGCGGGAAGAGCUCAAUUUGAAAUCUGGUGGCCUCAGGUCAUCCGAGUUGUAAUCUAUAGAAGUGUUUUCCGUGCUGGCUCAUGUACAAGUCCCUUGGAACAGGGCGUCAUAGAGGGUGAGAAUCCCGUCCUUGACAUGAACUACCAGUGCUCUGUGAUACAUUUUCAACGAGUCGAGUUGUUUGGGAAUGCAGCUCAAAAUGGGUGGUAAAUUCCAUCUAAAGCUAAAUAUUGGCGAGAGACCGAUAGCGAACAAGUACCGUGAGGGAAAGAUGAAAAGCACUUUGGAAAGAGAGUUAAACAGUAUGUGAAAUUGUUGAAAGGGAAACGAUUGAAGUCAGUCGUGCUCUUUGGAUUCAGCCGGUUCUGCCGGUGUACUUCCUUUGAGUGGGGUCAACAUCAGUUUUGAUCGCUGGAUAAAGGCUGGAGGAAUGUAGUACCCUCGGGUAAACUUAUAGCCUCCUGUCACAUACAGUGGUUGGGACUGAGGAACGCAGCACGCCUUUAUGGCCGGGAUUCGUCCACGUACGUGCUUAGGAUGUUGACAUAAUGGCUUUAAAC